AUUGAACGCUGGCGGCAGGCCUAACACAUGCAAGUCGAACGAGUGGCGGACGGGUGAGUAAUGUCUGGGAAACUGCCCGAUGGAGGGGGAUAACUACUGGAAACGGUAGCUAAUACCGCAUACCAUCGGAUGUGCCCAGAUGGGAUUAGCUAGUAGGUGGGGUAAAGGCUCACCUAGGCGACGAUCCCUAGCUGGUCUGAGAGGAAGACCAGCAACACUGGAACUGAGACACGGUCCAGACUCCUACGGGAGGCAGCAGUGGGGAAUAUUGAACAAUGGGAGCAAGCCUGAUGCAACCAUGCCGCGUGUAUGAAGAAGGCCGUCGGGUUGUAAAGUACUUUCAGCGGGGAGGCGUUACUCGCAGAAGAAGCACCGGCUAACUCCGUGCCAGCAGCCGCGGUAAUUC
rnacentral:rRNA from 1 species